rnacentral:RNase_P_RNA from 1 species
AUAGUUGAAUAAAGGCAUAGCCGUCGCAACUUUUUCCGUGGCGGAGGAAAGUCCGGACUGCAUUGGGACAACACACCGGCCAAUCACCGGGCAGAGCAAUCUGACGAUUAGAGCAACAGUGACGAUACGGGUUUAACCCGGGUGAAACGGGCAAUCUCUGUGUGCAGCAACUUCAAAUAGGUUUCCAAUGAUCGUCCCAAAUCGGAAACGGGUAGAGGGCUUGAUGCUUUGUGGUAACACAUUGCACAGAUUAAUUAUGCCUGCCACCCAUUUGUUUGGUGUUGAACGCGCCGGAACAACACUGAAUAUGGGCGGAACAGAAUCCGGCUUAUCAUUCGGCUAUCACG